AAAGCAUCAAUGAUGAGUAAUAUAACUCGUUAUCCUUGCACUUUGAUUCUUAAAAUGAAGAAAAUUAUGGGGAAAAUAUUCUGAGAUGCUU
rfam:Nicotiana attenuata strain TT chromosome 10, whole genome shotgun sequence.